UACGUAGGGUGCAAGCGUUGCCCGGAUUUAUUGGGCGUAAAGGGCGCGUAGGCGGCUCUGCACGUUCGUUGUGAAAUCGCCCGGCUCAACUGGGCGGGGUCAGCGGAUACGGUGUAGCUGGAGCAAGCUAGGGGGCAAUGGAAUUCCCGGUGUAGUGGUGGAAUGCGUAGAUAUCGAGAGGAACACCUGCGGCGAAGGCGGGUUGCUGGGCUGAUACUGACGCUGAUGCGCGAAAGCCAGGGGAGCGAACGGG
rnacentral:rRNA from 1 species